rnacentral:misc_RNA from 1 species
GGCACUAUCCGACACACACUCACCCAUGCGCACGCUCGAGGGGCUGCCACAAAUGCAGCGGGUCUUUUUGGUCCUCUUUCGCCAGCUCCUCGUCAUCCCCCAGCCUUCUCUCUCUGUGUCUCUCUCUUGCCCAGCCACACUCCUUCACGUGCACCAUUUCACUCGCUCACGACAGAAGCUUCCACGGCGAGAUAACUCCACCCAUCCAUUCUUCCCCACCCGCCCCCCCCCCUCCACCCUCACGCGAUCACAUCAACUAGCCAAGAGCAGCGAAAACGUUCUGUAAGAGGCGCGAAGAGACCCCUUCCUAACCUCACCCGCGAAAAAAGGAAAUCCGCCGGUUUAGCAGCUCGAUACGUCACCAUCUGCACUUGCAGAUACGCGCUGACGUGCACUGACACGUCUGUAGCCACGAAGAAAGGUGGAGAAGAGAACAAAACCACAAUAGAAUCAGGAAGGGUGCGAGCAAGAGAGAAAGAGCAGCCGGCCCCCAUCUUUGUGCAUCACCCGCACCGGCUCUCUUCCUCACGAUUAGUCCAUCACUUGCAGAACCUUUCGGGGUGUCCCACAGCAGUACCUCUGCUCCCCUCUUCAUCUCUGAUCGUCUUCCCUCGUAAUCACGCCACGCCCCUCCCCCCACCCACUCACACACACCCCUCGUCGCUCCUCAUACCCAAG